rnacentral:pre_miRNA from 1 species
UAGUGCUUAAGGGAGCUCCCUACAAACCAAUUCUGAAAGGAAAUGAUGGCACAAAUGCCACAGCUGCUAGUUCAUGGUCACCCCUGCCUCCGCACCACUUUUCCGGCGCAGGCUAGGGUUUGCAUGAACUAGGAGACGUGGGUUGCCUUCAUCUUUUUGAUAUUGGUUUGAAGGGAGUUCCAUUUUGCUCUUUC